rnacentral:tRNA from 1 species
GCCCCCGUCGUCUAGUGGCCUAGGAUAUCUGGUUCUCAGCCAGAAGAUCGCGGGUUCGAAUCCCGCCGGGGGUACCA